GAAGCUGGUCAGGCAAUCGCUGUGUUGUUCGCAAUACAGAGGAAAGUCCGGGCUCCGCAGAGCAGAGCGCCAGGUAACGCCUGGAAGGUGAAAGCCUAUGGAAAGUGCAGCAGAAAAUAUACCGCCUACGUACGACUUGUCGUGCCGGUAAGGUUGAAAUGGUGUGGUAAGAGCACACCGCGCAGCAGGUAACUGCUUGUGGCAUGGUAAACCCCGCUCGGAGCAAGACCAAAUAGGGGGACAAUGGAG
rnacentral:RNase_P_RNA from 1 species